AUACUUACCUGGUGGGGGAGAUACCAUGAUCAUGAAGGUGGUUCUCCCAGGGUGAGGUUCAUCUGUUGCACUCUGGAUGUACUGACCCCUGUGAUUUCCUCAAGUGUAGGAAACUCAUCUGCAUAAUUUGUGGUAGUGGGGGACUGCAUUCGCACUACCCUCU